UGUUUCUCUGUUCUGAUAACUCCUCCCCCCAUGCAUCCCCCAUCCCUGUUCUCUUCCCGAAUUGGUGCUACCUCCUAUUUGGGAAAUACUUUUGCUUUUAAGAGUCUCAUGGUGACAGAGUAGAGAUAAGGAAGAAGAGGCAGUAACAUUACUACCCAGGGCCAGUUUUGGGCUUGAGGAUCAUAGGGAAAAGAUGGUUUAAGAAUUUAUUGGAAGAAGACUACAAAUAGGGUUCAGUGUAUACUGCUCGGGUGACGGUUGCACCAAAAUCUCACAAAUCACCACGAAAGAACUUACUCAUGCAACCAAACACCAUCUGUUCCCCAAUAACUUUUAUGGAAAUUAAAAAUAAAUUUUAAAAGUGUUUAUGGGAAGAUUCUGAUCUUUCCCCCUUACUAACCACAUAAAUCCUGGAAAAAUAACUAAUUCCCUCUUGUUUUUGGUGUGGAAAAUGAGAAACUGGAUAUAAUAGGGUCUAGGAUAGUACUUGGCUCAUACAUGUUGUUUGAUACCUGUUAACCCUCUCUUUCUUUUAAUUUUCUGUAGUUCCUCCAGCAUAAAAACAAGACAAAGUUUCUGCAGAGCUGCUCUAACCCAAUAAUAAAAUUGGACAAUAAGCUGCAUAUCUGCCGGAAACCUGGGACUGGCAAUGGAGAUGAGAAGAGAAUCAGAAGGCUGAAAUGAAGCCACAAUGUUGACAGCAAGUGGAGUCUGGCAACCCCAAGUUUCCAAAGUGCACAUCUGCGCUGGGGCCUGGAGAUUUCUGGAAGGGAAUCAGUCUGUGUCCUUUUUGCAGGAUAUGUCUGAUGACAUAGAAGCUGUGGAAUCCAUUCUUCAGGGUCUAAACUCAAGCCUGGUCCUUAGUUCUCCGUACUGUAUUCUUCCUGACCUCCAGACCUGAGCGUCCUCCCCUUCAAAAGACAAAGCCAUCCAAAGAGUCUGAGCACUCCAAGUGAGCAGCUUGAAGAGUGAGAGACAUGGACAGAGGGAAGGGCAGGUCUGUGCAGCCUGUGGCCAUAAACCCCACCUCUGGCCUUCUCCAGUGAAGCCACACUCAAGAUUUAAGAGAACUUGUGAUCAACUUGGGGUAUUUGCACCCCACGAAAAGGGAGUUUGCAGGAUCCCUAAUAUCACUGCGAGUUGCCACUUUUCCAGUCUUUUUUUGCUGUUCGCUCAUAUCCACAGGGAAAAAAACGAAAUGAGCAGCCCAGUCCCUCAGGCCUUUUUCUUUAAUGUUGCCAUCAAAAAUCAAUAAAAUGCAUCAAGCUGUUUCAACUAAGUUGAUCUCAAAUCAAACUGGUAUGGUUGUCAGGGAAUAUGUUGAACUAUAUUUAAGUGAAGAAAGAUUUU
rnacentral:lncRNA from 10 species